rnacentral:rRNA from 1 species
GAUGAACGCUGGCGGCGCGCCUAAUACAUGCAAGUCGAGCGAACAGACGAGGAGCUUGCUCCUCUGACGUUAGCGGCGGACGGGUGAGUAACACGUGGAUAACCUACCUAUAAGACUGGGAUAACUUCGGGAAACCGGAGCUAAUACCGGAUAAUAUAUUGAACCGCAUGGUUCAAUAGUGAAAGACGGUUUUGCUGUCACUUAUAGAUGGAUCCGCGCCGCAUUAGCUAGUUGGUAAGGUAACGGCUUACCAAGGCAACGAUGCGUAGCCGACCUGAGAGAGUGAUCGGCCACACUGGAACUGAGACACGGUCCAGACUCCUACGGGAGGCAGCAGUAGGGAAUCUUCCGCAAUGGGCGAAAGCCUGACGGAGCAACGGCGCGUGAGUGGUGAAAGUCUUCGGAUCGUAAAACUCUGUUAUUAGGGAAGAACAAAUGUGUAAGUAACUAUGCACGUCUUGACGGUACCUAAUCAGAAAGCCACGGCUAACUACGUG